rnacentral:rRNA from 1 species
GCGUGCCUAUACAUGCAUUCCCGAGCGGAUUUAUCCUUCGGGAUAAGUUUCCCGGCGGACGGGUGAGUAACACGUAGGUAACCUCGCCUAUAAGAUCGGGAUAACUAUCGGAAACGAUAGCUAAGACCGGAUAAUUGGUUUUCUCGCAUGAGAGAAUUAUGAAACACGGAGCAAUCUGUGGCUUAUAGAUGGGCCUGCGGCGCAUUAGCUAGUUGGUAGGGUAACGGCCUACCAAGGCGACGAUGCGUAGCCGACCUGAGAGGGUGAACGGCCACACUGGGACUGAGACACGGCCCAGACUCCUACGGGAGGCAGCAGUAGGGAAUCUUCCGCAAUGGACGCAAGUCUGACGGAGCAACGCCGCGUGAGUGAUGAAGGUUUUCGGAUCGUAAAGCUCUGUUGCCCUAGACGAACAGCAAGAAGAGUAACUGCCUUUUGUGUGACGGUAUAGGAGAAGAAAGCCCCGGCUAACUACGUGCCAGCAGCCGCGGUAAUACGUAGGGGGCAAGCGUUGUCCGGAAUUAUUGGGCGUAAAGCGCGCGCAGGCGGUCAAUUAAGUUGGGUGUUUAAGCCCCGGGGCUCAACCCCGGUUCGCAUCCCGAAACCUGGUUGACUUUGAGUGUAGGAGAGGAAAGUUGAAUUCCCCGUGGUAGCGGUGAAAUGCGUA